rnacentral:rRNA from 1 species
GACGAACGCUGGCGGCGUGCUUAACACAUGCAAGUCGAACGGAAAGGCCUUUUCGGAGGUACUCGAGUGGCGAACGGGUGCGUAACACGUGGGUGAUCUGCCCUGCACUCUGGGAUAAGCCUGGGAAACUGGGUCUAAUACCGGAUAGGACCGCACUUUAGUGUGUGUGGUGGAAAGUUUUUUCGGUGUAGGAUGAGCCCGCGGCCUAUCAGCUUGUUGGUGGGGUAAUGGCCUACCAAGGCGGCGACGGGUAGCCGGACUGAGAGGUUGGUCGGCCACAUUGGGACUGAGAUACGGCCCAGACUCCUACGGGAGGCAGCAGUGGGGAAUAUUGCACAAUGGGCGCAAGCCUGAUGCAGCGACGCCGCGUGGGGGAUGACGGCCUUCGGGUUGUAAACUCCUUUCGCCAGGGACGAAGCGUUUUGUGACGGGACCUGGAGAAGAAGCACCGGCUAACUACGUG